rnacentral:lncRNA from 1 species
GAAAGUACGCCUGCCACCUCUGCUUGACUUGAGACUCCCCCAUCAGAAUUCUACCAUCCUCGCCCUUGAUGCACCUAACUUGGCCAAGAUUACACGCCUUCCUUUCCCUUGCUUUAGCUAACCGGAAUAACUGCCUGUCCCCGCCUUUAUCCCUUAAUUCCUUGUACAUGCAACCAAGCGCCGCGUUUUUAGCUUCCGUAACCGCCAGCUUUGCUUCUUUCCUCGCCACCUUGUAGAUCUCCGACCAAACACCGUGUUUUUAGCUUCCGUAACCGCCAACUUUGCUUCUUUCCUCGUCGCCUUGUAGAUCUCCCUGUUCGCUCACCGUUCUUCCUCGCUUGUGCUUCCUGCCAACUUAGCAAACGCCGCCUUCUUCACCCCCACUUUUCCUUCGACUACAUCGUUCCACCACCAAUCACUCUAAUGUAUGCCUGAAUAUCCCUUGGCUACCCCGAGCAUAUCCCGUGAUACCUCCCUAACCAAGUUCGCCAUCUCUGACCACAUAGCGUCCGCUUUCCCAGAACUUCUCC